GACGAACGCUGGCGGCGUGCUUAACACAUGCAAGUCGAACGGAAAGGCCCUGCUUUUGUUGUGUGCUCGUGUGGCGAACGGGUGAGUAACACGUGAGUAACCUGCCCCUGAUCUUGGGAUAACUUCAGGAAACUGGGGCUAAUACCGGAUAGGAGCUCCUGCUGCAUGUUGGGGGUUGGAAAGUUUCGGCGGUUGGGGAUGGACUCGCGGCUUAUCGGCUUGUUGGUGGGGUAGUGACUUACCAAGUCUUUGACGGGUAGCCGGCCUGAGAGGGUGACCGGCAACAUUGGGACUAAGAACAGGCCCAGACACCUACGGGAGGCAGCGGUGGGGAGAAUGGCACAAUGGGCGGAGGCCUGUUGAAGCAACGCGGGGUGCGGGAGGACGGCCUUCGGGUUGAAAACCGCUUUGACCUGUGACGAGGCGUGAGUGACGGUACUGAGUAAAGAAGCACCGGCUAACUACGUG
rnacentral:rRNA from 1 species